AUCAGAUAUAAUUCUCUUUUCUGGCCUGGAGGUAGAAGUGUCUGCAUUUCUGAUCUUAAAAAGAAAUAGGCUGGCUGAUAAAAGGAAUACUUCCAGUUUUCAUCUACCAGCUGAGUCCCAAAAGAAUAAGACAAGGCGGAGGGCACAGAGAAGAUAUGCACUAAUAAACUCGGACCGAGUGUACCCUCAGCAAGUUUGCAGAUGACACAAACCUGG